rnacentral:rRNA from 1 species
CCUACGGGAGGCAGCAGUGAGGAAUAUUGGUCAAUGGUCGGGAGACUGAACCAGCCAAGCCGCGUGAGGGAGGAAGGUACAGAGUAUCGUAAACCUCUUUUGUCAGGGAACAAAGGCGGGGACGUGUCCCCGGAUGAGUGUACCUGAUGAAAAAGCAUCGGCUAACUCCGUGCCAGCAGCCGCAGUAAUACGGAGGAUGCGAGCGUUAUCCGGAUUUAUUGGGUUUAAAGGGUGCGGAGAUGGGUUGUUAAGUCAGCGGUGAAAGGCUGGGGCGCAACCACGGCACCGCAGUUGAUCCUGGCAGUGUUGAGUUGGAGAGAAGUAUGCGGAAUGCGCGGUGUAGCGGUGAAAUGCAUAGAUAUCGCGAAGAACUCCGAUUGCGAAGGCAGCAUGCUGACUCCACACUGACGUUGAGGCACGAAAGCGUGGGUAUCGAACAGGAUUAGAUACCCUUGUAGUC